GUUAGUGGAGAAAUUCAUCUUCGAGGUAACCAUAUAUAUACGUAUAACAUAGUGAGUGCUUCAGGUGAGUCUAAACUUUUAUUUGGUAGUAUAUUAUAUACCAUAUUUU